AUGAACGCUGGCGGCGUGCCUAAUACAUGCCAGUCGAGCGAACGGACGAGAAGCUUGCUUCUCUGAUGUUAGCGGCGGACGGGUGAGUAACACGUGGAUAACCUACCUAUAAGACUGGGAUAACUUCGGGAAACCGUAGCUAAUACCGGAUAAUAUUUUGAACCGCAUGGUUCAAAAGUGAAAGACGGUCUUGCUGUCACUUAUAGAUGGAUCCGCGCUGCAUUAGCUAGUUGGUAAGGUAACGGCUUACCAAGGCAACGAUGCAUAGCCGACCUGAGAGGGUGAUCGGCCACACGGGAACUGAGACACGGUCCAGACUCCUACGGGAGGCAGCAGUAGGGAAUCUUCCGCAAUGGGCGAAAGCCUGACGGAGCAACGCCGCGUGAGUGAUGAAGGUCUUCGGAUCGUAAAACUCUGUUAUUAGGGAAGAACAUAUGUGUAAGUAACUGUGCACAUCUUGACGGUACCUAAUCAGAAAGCCACGGCUAACUACGUG
rnacentral:rRNA from 1 species